rnacentral:rRNA from 1 species
UGGGGAAUAUUGCACAAUGGGGGCAAGCCUGAUGCAGCCAUGCCUGCGUGUAUGAAGAAGGCCUUCGGGUUGUAAAGUACUUUCAGCAGUGAGGAAGGAGGAGUCGUUAAUAGCGGCCUCCCUUGACGUUAGCUGCAGAAGAAGCACCGGCUAACUCCGUGC